rnacentral:lncRNA from 1 species
AAGAGCAGGAAGAUCACUGACAUCGAUCAGUGUAGGAGAGGCGGGAGCAGUAGAGGAUACCCCAGCAGUAGCAGUAGUAGACUGAGGACGAGUGUCUCGAUAGGUAGGAUUAUUCGGACAAUCGGACCUAUAAUGGCCAGGACCUCGCUGGCGACAGUUUUUGCAAACCCGAAUAGGACAAGUGAGCAAGCAAUGGUCAGUAGCAUGACACAAGGUGCACUCAUUAGGCCGAGAGACUGAACCAGAGGAUUGAGAACCAGAAGCUGAAAAACCGCGAGAACCACCAGAGGAGCCACGACCUCUAGAACCAGGAGUAGCAAGAGCAGUGUCCACAUGGGAAGUCGAAACCAAG